rnacentral:rRNA from 1 species
GAUGAACGCUGGCGGCGUGCUUAACACAUGCAAGUCGAACGGAAAGGCCCAAGCUUGCUUGGGUCCUCGAGUGGCGAACGGGUGAGUAACACGUGGGUGAUCUGCCCUGCACUUCGGGAUAAGCCUGGGAAACUGGGUCUAAUACCGGAUAGGACCACUUCUUGGAUGUUGUGGUGGAAAGUUUUUUCGGUGUGGGAUGAGCUCGCGGCCUAUCAGCUUGUUGGUGGGGUAAUGGCCUACCAAGGCGUCGACGGGUAGCCGGCCUGAGAGGGUGUACGGCCACAUUGGGACUGAGAUACGGCCCAGACUCCUACGGGAGGCAGCAGUAGGGAAUAUUGCACAAUGGGCGCAAGCCUGAUGCAGCGACGCCGCGUGGGGGAUGACGGCCUUCGGGUUGUAAACUCCUUUCGCUAGGGACGAAGCGUUUUGUGACGGUACCUGGAGAAGAAGCACCGGCUAACUACGUG